GGGCAGCAGCUCCGGAGCCCCCCGAGCAGAGCCCGAGCCCGGCCGAGGAUGAGUCCCAGAGGCUCUCGGAGAAGGUGGCGCAGCUGGAGGCGGCGCUGAAGCGGCUGCAGGGUCCCGAGGGGCAGCACUGGGGGCUGCGGGGGGCGGCUGCAGCAGGGCCGGGACGGCUGCGACCCCCGGGGACCCCCGGGAGCCCCCCUGACCCCCCCCAAAGACCCCCAACACCCCCCUGAACCCCCCGCGACC